rnacentral:rRNA from 1 species
UACGUAGGGUCCGAGCGUUGUCCGGAAUUAUUGGGCGUAAAGGGCUCGUAGGCGGUUUGUCGCGUCGGGAGUGAAAACUCAGGGCUUAACCCUGAGCCUGCUUCCGAUACGGGCAGACUAGAGGUAUGCAGGGGAGAACGGAAUUCCUGGUGUAGCGGUGAAAUGCGCAGAUAUCAGGAGGAACACCGGUGGCGAAGGCGGGUCUCUGGGCAACAACUGACGCUGAGGAGCGAAAGCGUGGGGAGCGAACAGG